rnacentral:rRNA from 1 species
ACCGUAGGAGGCAAGCGUUAUCCGGAUUUACUGGGCGUAAAGCGCGUGCAGGCGGUCUGGUAAGUUGGAUGUGAAAGCUCCCGGCUCAACUGGGAGAGGUCGUUCAAAACUGCCAGACUAGAGGACGGUAGAGGGAGGUGGAAUUCCGGAUGUAGUGGUGAAAUGCGUAGAUAUCCGGAGGAACACCAGUGGCGAAAGCGGCCUCCUGGACCGUCCCUGACGCUCAGACGCGAAAGCUAGGGGAGAAAACGGG